GAAUAUAAAUCAGCACUGAGGAUCGAGGCCUAGUUGUACCUGGGAGUCACAGAGACCGUGAUCCUGUGAGGGAGCAAACUGGAAUACUCAGGAAAGUCCUGCCUCAAUAGCCUUCCCAGCUGCUGGGUGGAUCGUCCAUCACCACAUUGCACGCAGUUGGUCUGCCAGAGAGAGACAAAGGGCAGGGAGAUCUGGAGCCUUCAAUAAAUCCUGUAGCGAGGUAUUCCUGAUGUCCCUGACUCAACAGAAUUCCCAAUUCCUGUCUCGUCCAUCACCACAUUGAAGACGGUUGGUCAGCCA